CCUACGGGAGGCAGCAGUGAGGAAUAUUGGUCAAUGGACGCAAGUCUGAACCAGCCAUGCCGCGUGCAGGAUGACGGCUCUAUGAGUUUUAAACUGCUUUUGUACGAGGGUAAACCCCGAUACGUGUAUCGGGUUGAAAGUAUCGUACGAAUAAGGAUCGGCUAAUUCCGUGCCAGCAGCCGCGGUAAUACGGAGGAUCCGAGCGUUAUCCGGACUUAUUGGGUGUAAAGGGUGCGUAGGCGGGUUGAGAAGUUAGAGGUGAAAUGUCGGGGCUGAACCCCGAAACUGCCGCUGAUACGGUUGGACUAGAGUAUAGUUGCGGUAGGCGGAAUGUAUGGUGUAGCGGUGAAAUGCUUAGAGAUCA
rnacentral:rRNA from 1 species